rnacentral:misc_RNA from 1 species
UUUCCGUAGGUGAACCUGCGGAAGGAUCAUUAUUGUAUAACCGAGGUGCGAGGGCUGUCGCUGACCCGAAAGGUCGUGCACGCCCGAGUGCCCUCACACACAUCCAUCUCACCCCUAUGUGCACCACCGCGUGGGUCCCCCUUUGGCUUGUUCGGAGGGGGGCUUACGUUUUCACACAAACUUUGUAUGCAGUGUAGAAUGUAUUUUUUGUUUUUGCGAUCACGCAAUCAAUACAACUUUCAACAACGGGUCUCUUGGCUCUCGUAUCGAUGAAGAACGCAGC